AGAGUUUGAUUAUGGCUCAGGACGAACGCUGGCGGCGCGCUUAACACAUGCAAGUCGAGCGAGAACCGGCCUUCGGGCCGGGGAAAGCGGCGAACGGGUGAGUAACACGUGGGUAAUCUGCCCUCGGUACUGGGAUAGCCCGGGGAAACCCGGAUUAAUACCGGAUGGCCCUUUGAGUCCUCGGAUUCACAGGGAAAGGUAGCUUCGGCCUCCGACCGAGGAUGAGCCCGCGGCGGAUUAGCUUGUUGGUGGGGUAACGGCCCACCAAGGCAACGAUCCGUAGCUGGUCUGAGAGGACGAUCAGCCACACUGGGACUGAGACACGGCCCAGACUCCUACGGGAGGCAGCAGUGGGGAAUCUUGCGCAAUGGGCGAAAGCCUGACGCAGCGACGCCGCGUGAGGGAAGAAGGCCUUCGGGUUGUAAACCUCUUUCAGGAGGGACGAAGCCACUCGGGUUAAUAGCCCAGAGGGUGACGGUACCUCCAGAAGAAGCCCCGGCUAACUACGUGCCAGCAGCCGCGGUAAUACGUAGGGGGCAAGCGUUGUCCGGAUUUAUUGGGCGUAAAGAGCGUGUAGGCGGCCAGGUAGGUCCGUUGUGAAAACUGGAGGCUUAACCUCCAGCGGUCGAUGGAAACCAUCUGGCUAGAGUCCGGAAGAGGAGAGUGGAAUUCCUGGUGUAGCGGUGAAAUGCGCNNNUAUCNNNNNGAACACCCGUG
rnacentral:rRNA from 1 species